AGAUUGAACGCUGGCGGCAGGCCUAACACAUGCAAGUCGAGCGGUAGAGAGGUGCUUGCACCUCUUGAGAGCGGCGGACGGGUGAGUAAUGCCUAGGAAUCUGCCUAGUGGUGGGGGAUAACGUUCGGAAACGGACGCUAAUACCGCAUACGUCCUACGGGAGAAAGCGGGGGACCUUCGGGCCUCGCGCCAUUAGAUGAGCCUAAGUCGGAUUAGCUAGUUGGUGAGGUAAUGGCUCACCAAGGCGACGAUCCGUAACUGGUCUGAGAGGAUGAUCAGUCACACUGGAACUGAGACACGGUCCAGACUCCUACGGGAGGCAGCAGUGGGAAUAUUGGACAAUGGGCGAAAGCCUGAUCCAGCCAUGCCGCGUGUGUGAAGAAGGUCUUCGGAUUGUAAAGCAACUUUAAGUUGGAGGAAGGUUGUAAACUUAAGUACGUUGCAACUUUGACGUUACCGACAGAAAUAAGCAACCGGCUAACUUCGUGCCAGCAGCCG
rnacentral:rRNA from 1 species